rnacentral:rRNA from 1 species
GAACGACUCUCGGCAACGGAUAUCUCGGCUCUCGCAUCGAUGAAGAACGUAGCGAAAUGCGAUACUUGGUGUGAAUUGCAGAAUCCCGUGAACCAUCGAGUUUUUGAACGCAAGUUGCGCCCGAGGCCGUCAGACCGAGGGCACGCCUGCCUGGGCGUCAC